UUAUUGGAGAGUUUGAUCCUGGCUCAGGACGAACGCUGGCGGCGUGCCUAAUACAUGCAAGUCGAGCGGAGUUAAUGAGAAGCUUGCUUCUCUGAGAC
rfam:Paenibacillus sp. TCA20 DNA, contig: PspTCA2nb04.